rnacentral:ncRNA from 1 species
GGACCGGGACGGACGAACCGCUGGUAUGUCAGUUGUACCGCCAGGUGCAUGGCUGAUUGGCUACGUUCGGGAUGGAUAACCGCUGAAAGCAUCUAAGCGGGAAGCCGGCUUCAAGAUGAAUUCUCCUCAAUGAGGUGCCCAGGAGAUGACUGGGUUGAUAGCCCGGAUGUGGAAGCACAGACUCACGAUGUGUGGAGCUGACCGGUACUAAUACACCAAAGACUUACCCAC